GACGAACCGUCCAAACGUUAUUCGGAAUCACUGGGCUUAAAGGGUGCGUAGGCGGCCCGGAAAGUUGUGUGUGAAAGCCCUCGGCUCAACCGAGGAAUAGCGCGCAAAACUACCGGGCUCGAGGGAGACAGAGGUAAGCGGAACUUAGGGUGGAGCGGUGAAAUGCGUUGAUAUCCUAAGGAACACCAGGAGCGAAAGCGGCUUACUGGGUCUCUUCUGACGCUGAGGCACG
rnacentral:rRNA from 1 species